ensembl:lncRNA
UGCACACAAUUACACACAGAGGGAGUCACUGUGCAGCUGUGACGGCUGGACAACACACACACACACACACAGGAGGUGUGUAACGGAUUGAACCCCCCCUCAUAGCUGCGCUGUCUUCGAGGUCGCAGGCGGAUGAGACCACAGCUGCUUGGACAUAAAUUUCCAAAAGGAAUGUCGGAGCACUCGGCAUAAAAACCAAGACUGUGAGUGUGUGUGUGUGUGCAGGAGGAGGAGGAGGAGGAGUGUGUGUGUGCAGGAGGAGGAGUUAGUGUGUGUAGGAGAAGGAGUGUGUGUGUGUGUGCAGGAGGAGAUGUGUGUGUGUAGGAGAAGGAGUGUGUAUGUGUGUGUGUAGGAGAAGGAGUGUGUGUGUGUGUGUG